GGGUGUGAUGGCGUGGAUCGAUCAGAGCAAAGGGGGGAGAAGACAAACCCUAACUUCAUGAAAUUCUCAAGAAUUGAAAGAGAUUAGGAGCCCAAACUAAUGCAUGAACUCGAAACCUCAAUCAUCUAAGCUUGUACAACAAGCGGAACGUGUCAAGGAGAGGUCAAGCAUAGGAGGAUAACGGGUCAAGAUAAGGCAAGAUGACAAAUACACUUAUUGGAGUACUCGAGGUAAGUGAAUUUCGAUUCACUUUUUAGUAGGUUUAAUAGAAUUUAAUACUUAUGUUUACGAAACAUCAUGAAAGAACAUGUAAUAAUCAGAAGUACAAAGCCAAUAAUGCCUCAUUAUUGAAGAAGGUUGUAUUUAAGCCGAAAGUAAAUUGGUGGGUUUAAACGGGUCGAAUUUUAUGUGCAUAUGUUGCGUAAUGAAAUGAAAUUCGUUAUGGUUAAGACCUUGGGUAAGAAUUUUAGUCAUUAUGUAAGGGGAACAUUUCCCGGACCAUUAGGUACAAGUUUUAUAUGAUUCGGUUGUCGGUCAAUGAAUGAACGGAUUGUUUCGUUUUAGUGUAGGAAAUUUUAUAAGUAUAUGUGUAUAGGAAUCCAAAGGCCACGUGGGUUGAAUCGUAGAUUGUCUAUACUAUGUAAAGUUUUGAAUGUGACAUUCCGGCAUAAACCUACAUGUAAAAGAAGCUUGUGUAUAUAUUCGUGAUUAAUUGAUUGUGCGAAGGAAGGAACAUUGGCAUGAAUGAAGGUACGCACAUAUAUAUAUAAGUGUAUAUAUAUAUAUAUAUGUAUGUAUGUAUGAUAAUAAGUACGUAGGUGUGAAUGUAUGUGUGAAUGAAUGUUCAAUGCUUAAGACAUAUGCAUGAACGUAUCAAAGGGUUCGAGUAUUUAUGGAUACUAAUGAUGUGCGUUGAGUUGGAAUGUAAUGUAGGUAUGGGGUCGUUGGCUUCAUGAAGAAAUGGAGCUGGAUUUGGAUAAGAGUAUUUAAGAAAGCGCUUGGACAAUUCCACGACUACUUUAUAGAAUGCUCUACGAAAUUUUAUUAUAUAGUUUAAUGUUGAAUGGUAUGUUGAUAACUAAUGGUUUGGUUGUACGUGGUGUCCACAGGUAUCGCUUGGGUUUUCUCUACUUUUAUUGAAGUGAAGCGGACUUAGUUCGAGUUGAGAGCAAGGAUUGUACGGGCUAGAAUGGUCACAUAGUGUAACUCAUAUAGGUUUUGAAGUAUUAAUGUUAUAAAACGUUAUAAAUCCGUUUUAAUGAAUAUAUGGCAUUUCGCAUUUGAACUUUCAUGUGUUUGAUAUGUCUAUUAAAGAACGAAAUUUUUGGGCUCUUGUUUUCCGCUGCGUCGUAUUUUAAGUUAUUACGCGUUAGUCUUACAGGGAAUUGUUCUUAUUACGAACGGGUCAUGCCCGAAUUUUGUUAAAUAAUAGUAUGAUAAUAUUACAUUUUGGAAUGUGUAAUUUGGGCGUAACAAGUUGGUAUCAGAGCCCUGGUUUGAGAGAAUUAAGUACGAGAGUAUAAGUACUUGAACUCAAACCUGUGUGCUCUUGUGAUAAGGAACCCGUACAAUCCAUGACUCGAUCAAGAUCUAAAGGUAGAAAUGGAACGAAAAUGUGUAAGUAUGUAUUAGAUUAUGUAUUUGAAAGAAACUAAUAGUGUGUUAUGUGCAAGGUAAGCUUAAGAUCUUGAAGAGGAUGAUCCGUGAAUACAGAAUGGGAUGAACGCUAAGGCGGGCAAAGGUGCAAAUAGGCAAAUUAACCCCAGGUACACAUUACUAAUAUGUAUGAGUACCGAUGUCAAAAGAAAAAGGAAGGGGUCUCCUUGGGAGGGAAAUUAUUAAACGAAAGACAAUGAUGUGGUCUUGGGGAAGUUUUAGAAAUGUGCACGAAACUGAAACCCAUUUCUCGGGCAUAAGGCGAUGAUUACACGAAGGCACGAAACUAGUGUGUGAAUUGCGCACCUGGCCAGUACGCAAGAAGCAUAUGACGUUCGUGAGACCGUGGCAAUUAUUGCAGGUAUGUCCGGUAGAACUGGGUAGCAGGUGGGCGCUAUGUUGUAGCGAAUCCGAAAUAGCAAAUCCAUUGCGGAUUUGGUUAUGCUAACGAAGGUUAUGAAAAGUUAUGCGAGUCGACCGGUUCUAGCGAACAAGUCGAAUAAGAAUAAGCUACCAUCCGUUUUGAACGGGUGAUUUUGAAUGCUCUAAUGAAUGCUAGAAGCUUAAUCCGUUAUACGGAUUGAAAGAAGAAGUUAUGAUUAAAUGUGAAAAACCCAAUUAUUUGGGUAGUGGAAAAUAUGUAUGCUUAACUCUCGUUGAGAGUGUUUAUGCCAAACCCAAUUAUUUGGGUAGUGGAAAAUGUGUAUGCUUAACUCUCGUUGAGAGUGUUUAUGCCAAACCCAAUUAUUUGGGUAGUGGAAUGUGUAUGCUUAACUCUCGUUGAGAGUGUUUAUGCCAAACCCAAUUAUUUGGGUAGUGGAAUGUGUAUGCUUAACUCUCCUUGAGAGUGUUUUAGCCGAAACCCAAUUAUUUGGGUAGUCGAAUGUGUAUGCUUAACUCUCUUUGAGAGUGUUUAUGCCAAACCCAAUUACUUGGGUAGUCGAAUGU
rnacentral:lncRNA from 1 species